rnacentral:rRNA from 1 species
UACGAAGGGUGCAAGCGUUAAUCGGAAUUACUGGGCGUAAAGGGUGCGUAGGCGGUUCGUUAAGUCUGUCGUGAAAUCCCCGGGCUCAACCUGGGAAUGGCGAUGGAUACUGGCGAGCUAGAGUGUGUCAGAGGAUGGUGGAAUUCCCGGUGUAGCGGUGAAAUGCGUAGAGAUCGGGAGGAACAUCAGUGGCGAAGGCGGCCCGCUGGGCAGAGACUGACGCUGAGGCGCGACAGCGUGGGGAGCAAACAGG